rnacentral:rRNA from 1 species
UGGGGAAUAUUGCACAAUGGGCGCAAGCCUGAUGCAGCCAUGCCGCGUGUGUGAAGAAGGCCUUCGGUUGUAAGCACUUUCAGCGAGGAGGAAGGUGGUGAGCUUAAUACGCUCAUCAAUUGACGUUACUCGCAGAAGAAGCACCGGCUAACUCCGUGCCAGCAGCCGCGGUAAUACGGAGGGUGCAAGCGUUAAUCGGAAUUACUGGGCGUAAAGCGCACGCAGGCGGUUUGUUAAGUCAGAUGUGAAAUCCCCGGGCUCAACUGGGAACUGCAUUUGAAACUGGCAAGCUAGAGUCUCGUAGAGGGGGUAGAAUUCCAGGUGUAGCGGUGAAAUGCGUAGAGAUCUGGAGGAAUACCGG